rnacentral:misc_RNA from 1 species
CAACCCUCAGGCCUCGUCUGCCUGGUGUUGGGGCGCCGCGCACCCCCCGUGGGCGCGGGCCCCGAAAGUCAGUGGCGGGCUCGCCAGGACUCCGAGCGCAGUAAUCUCUUCUCGCUAUGGAGGCCCCGGCGGGUUACCCGGCCGUAAAGCACCCAAAACUUACACAA